CUCAUACCCCCACUCACACACCCUAUAUAUAGUGUGCAGGUUGAAUGGGGAACACACAGCAGAUGUACCCUCACACCCCCACUCACACACCCUAUAUAUAGUGUGCAGGUUGAACAGGGAACACACAGCAGAUGUACCCUCACACCCCCACUCUACAGUGUGCAGGUUGAACAGGGAACACACAGCAGAUGUACCCUCACACCCCCACUCACACACCCUAUAUAUAGUGUGCAGGUUGAACAGGGAACACACAGCAGAUGUACCCUCACACCCCCACUCUACAGUGUGCAGGUUGAACAGGGAACACACAGCAGAUGUACCCUCACACCCCCACUCUACAGUGUGCAGGUUGAACAGGGAACACACAGCAGAUGUACCCUCACACCCCCACUCUACAGUGUGCAGGUUGAACAGGGAACACACAGCAGAUGUACCCUCACACCCCCACUCUACAGUGUGCAGGUUGAAUGGGGAACACACAGCAGAUGCCCGACACAUUGGUGUUUUUAAAGUUGCUCUAAACAGCAGCUGUUCAGUAUCCACUGCCCUCUGGCAUCACUCACACACAGCCAGGGCCACACACACACACAUAAAUAUCACUCACACACACAUACAUUUCACUCACACACACAUAAAUAUCACGCACACACACAUAAAUAUCACGCACACACACACACACACACACACACACAUAAAUAUCACUCACACACACACACACA